UCUCCGUUGGUGAACCAGCGGAGGGAUCAUUACCAGAGUGCCUUUUGGCUCUCCAACCCACUGUGAACAUACCUACGUUUCCCUCGGCGGGCUCAGCGCGUUGCGGUUCUGCCGCCUCGCGUCCGCCGGGGGCACCCAAACUCGAAUUUAUAUCGUGUAUCUCUGAGGGGCGAAAGCCCGUAAAACAAAUGAAUCAAAACUUUCAACAACGGAUCUCUUGGCUCUG
rnacentral:misc_RNA from 1 species